rnacentral:rRNA from 1 species
UACGGAGGGUGCAAGCGUUGUUCGGAAUCACUGGGCGUAAAGGGCGUGUAGGCGGUCUGCUAAGUCUGAUGUGAAAGCCCGAGGCUUACCCUCGGAAGGGCAUUGGAGACUGGCGGGCUAGAGUCCCGGAGAGGAGGGUGGAAUUCCUGGUGUGGCGGUGAAAUGCGUAGAUAUCAGGAGGAACACCGGCGGCGAAGGCGGCCCUCUGGACGGUGACUGACGCUGAGACGCGAAAGCGUGGGGAGCAAACAGG